AGUGAACGCUGGCGGUAGGCCUAACACAUGCAAGUCGAACGGCAGCACAGUAAGAGCUUGCUCUUACGGGUGGCGAGUGGCGGACGGGUGAGGAAUACAUCGGAAUCUACUUUUUCGUGGGGGAUAACGUAGGGAAACUUACGCUCAUACCGCAUACGACCUACGGGUGAAAGCAGGGGAUCUUCGGACCUUGCGCGAUUGAAUGAGCCGAUGUCGGAUUAGAUAGUUGGCGGGGUAAAGGCCCACCAAGGCGACGAUCCGUAGCUGGUCUGAGAGGAUGAUCAGCCAGACUGGAACUGAGACACGGUCCAGACUCCUACGGGAGGCAGCAGUGGGGAAUAUUGGACAAUGGGCGCAAGCCUGAUCCAGCCAUACCGCGUGGGUGAAGAAGGCCUUCGGGUUGUAAAGCCCUUUUGUUGGGAAAGAAAAGCAGCAGGUUAAUACCCCGCUGUUCUGACGGUACCCAAAGAAUAAGCACCGGCUAACUUCGUG
rnacentral:rRNA from 1 species